rnacentral:rRNA from 1 species
GGAAACCUUGUUACGACUUUUACUUCCUCUAAAUGACCAAGUUUGAUCGUCUUCCAAAUAUGCACGUUAACUGUUGCCAGUUACCAAGUUAUCUGUCCGAUUAUCUCACUGAACCAUUCAAUCGGUAGUAGCGAC